UUGACGGGGCCGCACAAGCGGUGGAGCAUGUGGUUAAUUCGAAGCAACGCGAAGAACCUUACCAGGUCUUGACAUCCCUGACAACCCGAGAGAUCGGGCGUUCCCCUUCGGGGGACAGGGUGACAGGUGGUGCAUGGUUGUCGUCAGCUCGUGUCGUGAGAUGUUGGGUUAAGUCCCGCAACGAGCGCAACCCUCGACCUUAGUUGCCAGCAUUCAGCUGGGCACUCUAAAGGUGACUGCCGGCUAAAAGUCGGAGGAAGGUGGGGAUGACGUCAAAUCAUCAUGCCCCUUAUGACCUGGGCUACACACGUGCUACAAUGGGCGGUACAAAGGGUCGCGAACCCGCGAGGGGGAGCCAAUCCCAAAAAGCCGCUCUCAGUUCGGAUUGCAGGCUGCAACUCGCCUGCAUGAAGCCGGAAUCGCUAGUAAUCGCGGAUCAGAACGCCGCGGUGAAUACGUUCUCGGGUUU
rnacentral:rRNA from 1 species